AGCUUACAGGCGAAAGCGCCCGGUUGUGGCCCGGGAGAGCGGGUUCGAUUCCCACC
rnacentral:tRNA from 1 species